GAAGAAUUAAUUUAUAUAAAAUAUUAAUUUGUCAAAUUAAAUAAAUCGCUUAGAUAUUCUUUU
rnacentral:tRNA from 1 species